GACGAACGCUGGCGGCGUGCUUAACACAUGCAAGUCGAACGGAAAGGCCCUGCUUUUGUGGGGUGCUCGAUUGGCGAACGGGGGAGUAACACGUGAGUAACCUGCCCUUGACUUUGGGAUAACUUCAGGAAACUGGGGCUAAUACCGGAUAUGAGCUCCUGCUGCAUGGUGUGGGUUGGAAAGUUUCGGCGGUUGGGGAUGGACUCGCGGCUUAUCAGCUUGUUGGUGGGGUAGUGGCGUACCACGGCUUUGACGGGUAGCCGGCCUGAGAGGGUGACCGGCCACAUUGGGACUGCGAUAGGGACCAGAAUCCUACGGGAGGCAGCAGUGGGGAAUCUUACACAAUGGGCGGACGCCUGAUGCAGAAACGCCGCGUGCGGGAUGACGGCCUUCGGGUUGUAAACCGCUUUCGCCUGUGACGAAGCGUGAGUGACGGUAAUGGGUAAAGAAGCAACGGCUAACUACGUG
rnacentral:rRNA from 1 species